GACUCAGUGAAAUUGAACUCGCUGUGAAGAUGCAGUGUACCCGCGGCAAGACGGAAAGACCCCGUGAACCUUUACUAUAGCUUGACACUGAACAUUGAGCCUUGAUGUGUAGGAUAGGUGGGAGGCUUGGAAGUGUGGACGCCAGUCUGCAUGGAGCCGACCUUGAAAUACCACCCUUUAAUGUUUGAUGUUCUAACGUUGACCCGUAAUCCGGGUUGCGGACAGUGUCUGGUGGGUAGUUUGACUGGGGCGGUCUCCUCCUAAAGAGUAACGGAGGAGCACGAAGGUUGGCUAAUCCUGGUCGGACAUCAGGAGGUUAGUGCAAUGGCAUAAGCCAGCUUGACUGCGAGCGUGACGGCGCGAGCAGGUGCGAAAGCAGGUCAUAGUGAUCCGGUGGUUCUGAAUGGAAGGGCCAUCGCUCAACGGAUAAAAGGUACUCCGGGGAUAACAGGCUGAUACCGCCCAAGAGUUCAUAUCGACGGCGGUGUUUGGCACCUCGAUGUCGGCUCAUCACAUCCUGGGGCUGAAGUAGGUCCCAAGGGUAUGGCUGUUCGCCAUUUAAAGUGGUACGCGAGCUGGGUUUAGAACGUCGUGAGACAGUUCGGUCCCUAUCUGCCGUGGGCGCUGGAGAACUGAGGGGGGCUGCUCCUAGUACGAGAGGACCGGAGUGGACGCAUCACUGGUGUUCGGGUUGUCAUGCCAAUGGCACUGCCCGGUAGCUAAAUGCGGAAGAGAUAAGUGCUGAAAGCAUCUAAGCACGAAACUUGCC
rnacentral:rRNA from 1 species